rnacentral:snoRNA from 7 species
CCUCCUUUUCUUGGCGGGGACCGGGCGUGCGGUCCCGCUCCCCGUAAUGUACGGAGGUAGAAGAAAGGGCUCUGGCCCUCUCGGCGUUAUGUCUUCGGUGCUUGCGGCUUCCCGUUCGCGGGUUCUAUCCUCAGACGCCGGAACACUU